AUGGAUGCUUGCUUCUUAGUUCAGCUGCUCCUUGGGAAGUUCUUCAUGUCCUCACCAGACUACUGCAUACGGCUUUUCGUUGCCAAUGAAAUGCUCCUCUGGUUAAAACCGGGCUGCAAAUCGAUGCCUUAUAAACGUUACCUGCUUUGGGGUCAGCACCAGCGUGCCAUCAGGCUGCUCUUCUUGCUAAGGCCGUGGCGUUAUUUGGGUGUGUGCGCACAAAAACAGGCAGCGAGAGCUCUGUACCCCUUGAAAAACAUCCCCUGUCCUGCAGGGGUGUACAGCCUGUGAUCCCAAACUGUACCCGGGGCUUCUGCCACCUGCCCUAUCCCUCGUGCUAACAGGGGGACACGGGGGGGUCUUUAUAUCCAAGGUAUGUCAAAAAAUUGAGGAAAUCUUCCUCCAAUUGCAAUUCCUUGUGUGCAGCACUGUCGGUCCUGCCAUUGGCACCUCGACUUGGAGAUGCUCGCUGCUGCAGCUCCCUCCCAAAGGUGCUAAGCACUCUUCCCCCUGCAGGACUUCGUUGCUUCUUUAUAGGUCUGAAACGAGACGUUUGUGCUGGAAAUGGCCGAUAAUUGUACACAAACCGCCAGGUUUAGGUUACAGGGAGGAACCACUGAUGCGAUACCCGAAGCACAUCCCUGGCUUUUCAUGGGAACGAGGAGGAGGAGGUCCAUGGGAAAGCGUCAGCAAGGCAGAGACAGCAUGAAACCUGUUUCGUUGCAGUUCGGUUGCUCAUUCUCACAAGUAUAAAAUGUAAAAAUAAUCCAGACAGUUCGGCAGACUGGGCAACCUGCUUAACACCGAAACAAACACAGCUUUCAUCUCCAGCAUCUGGAAGCAGAUGAAUAGCAACAGGUACAGGUGGUGGAACUGGAAAACUUGGUUUGAGAUGAUCACUUUCUCCUUCAGACAGCACUAUUAUGUGCGUUCCCUGUUAUACAGCCUUUAAUUUAAUUAGCUCCCAUAUUCUCUUGGAUACAAAUGCCCACCCCUGUUUGCAUCCUCGGUCUAUUCUUCGCGGUGUGCUCCAGAUAGCAUUUCACAAUGCGGCUAAGAGAAGUCGGUGCCAUCAGAGCGAGCAUUGAUUUCUUAAUUUAAUGCAUGCCCUAUGGUGUGCAAAAGAUAAUACCCCCUGCUUAGACAAGAUGAUUU
rnacentral:lncRNA from 1 species